GACGAUUUUUCUUGACUGCGAACAUGUCACUAACCUCUGGCGUUGUAUAUGGAACAAUGUUCUCUCCCCUUGGUUGUCCGAACGAUAAGUCAAAUGAGGAGUAGCUCUUCCCAGUGUUCUAAUUUGAAUUUUUUCUUGAAAAGAUCGCUAACCAGAGAACGUGUGACACUGACUGCGGCAAGGGACGGAACACGUUGAACGAAGAAAAAGUGUGAGACUGUGAGGGAAGAUAUUAACGGCUAUAUUGAUAUCGAUACAAUGGACAGCGAUAGACUUUUGUUUAGUCUAGAAGCGAUUUUCAAACGUUGUGUCCGCCUGACGAGUAGAACGAGAAGGCAAUCCGUGACUGCUGCGAGCCUGCUACAGUCACUGACGCACGCGUCGUUUAUGCAAGAAAUCAACUCGCUGUGACAACGAGUCACGAAUAAAUAACAGCAUGAAACGAAAAUUAUAAUAUCAGCGAUUUUUGAAAUAUUUUUUAGCAUGCUGCAGCACGAUAGCGCGUAUUGAGUAGCCGCCCCUGGAUAUUACAUAUUUUGUCUAUAUUGAUCGAAACGAAGAUUGAUUAUUUACGUACAUACAAUUUAUAUAGAAGCAAGCUAGAGUCCCUUUCGAUGACUCCAUUACGACGUUGCCUUAGUGAUAUCUAUUUUUUAUCUAUAAUAAUGAUUAUAACAUUAUAGUCAUUAAAGUAUCAUUAAAUGAAACGGGAUGCUGUAAUAUAAAGCAUGCUAUAUAUACACACAUAUACGCGCGUGCGCGUUAUAUGUAUAUUAUAUAUAAGCAUAAUAAGAGCAAUAUAUAAAAGAUAAUUUACAAUAUAAAAGAAUAUUAUUUGUUAUGCUAUAUCACAUUAAUAGAAACAUUCUUUGUUGCUGAAUGAAAGUAAAAUUGUCUUUCCUUUGAAUCAAUGAAAUCGUGUAGAAUCGUAUACAUACAAAGUGGGGCAAUAAUUAUACCCAACUUGAAUAUUUCCGUCAUUCGUAGUAACACGAAAAAAUGUUAUAUACAAAAGUUGCACGGUAUAGAGGGGGGCAUGCUGUGACACAGACAUUUUUAUGUAGAUGAAGGCAUAGAGGAGAUUUCAAGGUUGUUCCGAGUUUUUUCAAUGAAAUGCUGUGCGAUAGUCGGUAUUGAGACGACUUCGGCAAACUAUCGCUGGAGGUCAUCCAAGGUCAUCGAAGAUGGUAGAACGAUUAUUAUGUGUUAUUUCUUUCGAGUUAUGGAUCAGCGUGGAUCGAAAAAUCUUAUCGUCGCUAGAUCUAGAUCCGUAUUUUUAUGUAAAUGAAUAGUUUUAAAAUAUUGUUUAUGUUCUAUUAAUACACGGCGUGUAGCUAAGAAUGUAAACAUCGCGGCAGUUUGUAAGAUUAGCGUGAAUGAUUGCUAAAUCAAAUAUAUGACUAUCGAUCGAUACGAUUAUUAUCAAAAUGAAGUUUUCACUGGAAGAGCAAUUAGAUACGAUUGUCAUUUAUGGAGAAAGAAAUAAAAUUCGAUAGGGAUUUUAAGCCUUGUAUGCUGAACGAUAUUCAACGAUACCCGUAUAUAUAUCCCUUGCAUCGAAUAUUUCGAAGAUUGCGGUUGGGUUAGGAAAAUUAAAAGGAACCGGUUAUUUGGUUACAUGUAAGAACGAUUGUCGCAAAAGACACGGCUACGAGAUGUAUAGCGAUACGAGAAUUGCAACUUUGCGUUCACGUAAAUGGUCACCAAUUGAGAUAUUGUCUAUAACGUAAGAAAGCUUAUUUUGCUGCCACAUUUGACCUUGGAUGACCUUCAGUGUGGGUUUGCUGAAAUUGUCUCAUCAGCGGGUAUCACAGCGCGAUAAAGAAAGAGAAAAAAAAAAAAAAAAAAAAAAAAAAAAAACACGCAAGAAA